CGCUCACAGUAAUGUGUGUUUUGUGAAUAUCAUUAUUCGAAAGAAAGAAUUAUUGAAAGACGGAAUUGAAUUUUACAUCUGUAUACCAAUGGAAUUCAUUUUCUACUCCCGCGUACGCCAAAUACCCAAUUUCUCGAAUAAAGAGUUUCAUGUAUUAAUUAUCUUUUGAAUUAACGGUAACGCACGGUUGAAUUGAAAACAUUUACUGCAAAGUGUUGUUGCGAAGUAUAUUCGCUAACGAUUGUAAAGACUCGAGGGACCUGGCCCUGCUGUUUCCAGCGGCGCUGUCCAUUCAGGCUCAUAAUUAAUUACGGGAAAUUAUAUAAAGAGAAUGUUGAUCGCACGUUUGUUUCGGAUUGCGCAAACGUCCUGCCACCUGGCCG